rnacentral:rRNA from 1 species
CGUGAUGAUACUUAUUCGGUGAUAUUGAAUAAUCGUGUACCGUCACACUAUAAUAAUUAUCAGUAUUUGUAACAUGUAGCGUUAAAUGGACGCCUAUAAUUCAACACUAUACGUAAAAAUUAUACGUUAAUUAGCUGUAGAUUAAUUUUAAUAUCGUGAAUAGCUAAUUUAUAAAACUUCAUAGUGAACUAAAACAAUUCAGUAACUAUGAUAAAAAUCAAUUGAGAAUUUUGAGUAGCGGUGAGCGAACUAAAAAAAAGCCAAAAAUUAUUUAAGUAAAACAUUUUGGAAAAAAUGGCCAUAGAGUGUGACAGCCACGUAUACUUAUUUUGUAAUAUUCGUUAAAUCUAGUAGACUAAUUUAUUAGUUGAAAAUUGGAGAACCAUCUUCAAGGCUUCAAAUGUUGAAUUUGAUAGAAAAAAGUAUCGCGAGAGAAAGGUGAAAAAGUUUUUAUAAAAAUCUUAAAAUCCGAAAUUUAACGCGAAAAACAGUUAAUGCGUAUUGUGUUAGCGUACCUUUUGUAUAAUGGACCAAGGAGUUUACAUCAAUAGCGAGCUUAACAGCGUAUUGAAAAAACUUAAAGUUAUUGGUGUAAGACCCGAAACCACGUGAUCUAACUAUGAUCAGGUUACGAGAUUAUACUCUCAAGGACCGAUGUCGUAAAUGUUGCAAAAUUUUGAUUGGAAUUAUAGUUAGGGGUGAAAGGCUUAUCAAACGUGGUGAUAGCUGGUUUUCUGCGAAAUCUAUUUAAGUAGAGAUGGUGUAUAUUAUAAUAAGGGGUAGCGUAAUUUUGAUUGUAAGCCUCUUAGGCCGUCAAUUAAAAAACGUCAAAUACUUAUUAUAUAAAUAUACUGAACAGACUGUGAGCGAAAAGGUUAACAGUCAAAAGGGAAACAGCCCAAAUCGUCGGUUAAAGUUCCAAAAUAUAACUAAAGAGAAAACCAUGUAUUAUUUAGUAUAGGAGGUAGGCUUGGAAGCAGCCAUCCUAUAAUGAAAGCGUAAAAGCUCACUAUACUAGUAGUUGAAAUGAAGAAUCAACAAUAUAUAUACGGGUUAUCAAUUUGAGGAUUUAAGUUAUAUACUGAAACUACGAAAUAUUUUGGUAGCAGAACGUGUUGUAUGUUUUUGAAGAUACAUUAAAAAAUGUAUUGGAGACAUCAAUAUUGUAUAUCUUGGUAUGAGUAACAGAUUUAAUGUGUGAAACAUUAAUGCCUUAUAUCUACGGGUUAGCUUGUUUUAUAAUAUUACAAGUUGUAAUACAGUCUUUUAUUAUAAUGCGAAAGCAGAAAUAUAAAAUGGGGUUGUUGAUAAAAAUUGUUUAUAUCCUUUCGUAAAAUUAAAAAACCUUAAAUUAAUAAGUUAGUAUUAAUUUGAAAGGGUAAAACGAUCUGGAAAAAAUCAACAGAAAACUGUACCACACUCAAACGCAUGUAGAUAAGUAGAGUAUAUGAAGGCAAAAAGGAGAAGAAAGGUUAAGGAACUCGGCAAAUUAACUCUGUAACUUAGGGAGAAGGAGUGCUGUGUAGCAUAUGAUAAGAGGGGGUAGCGACUGUUUAAUAAAAACAUAAGAUUUUGCAAAAUUUCAUUAUGAAGUAUAAAAUCUGACACCUGCCCGGUGCUGCAAGAUGAAAAAAAAUAAAUUUACGUUUAUUUUAUAAGUCCCAGUUAACGGCGGCUGUAACCCUGACAGUCCGAAGGUAGCGAAAUUCCUUGGCGGGUAAUUACCGUCCUGCAUGAAUGGUGUAACGACUGCCCCACUGUCUCAACCUUUUACCUUGUGAAAUUGAAUUAGUUGUGAAGAUGCAACUUGCUACAAUUAGACGGAAAGACCCUAUGCAUUUUUACUGCAAUCAUUUACAGUUUUUAUUCAAAGCUAACCUAGUCAUGUAGGAGAUUCAAUCGUCAAUGGAAAACUACUUUAGAAUAGGAUAAAAACAACAUACUAACAAUAUAUUAUAUUAGUAUAGCAGUUUAUGAUAGGUAGUUUAACUGGGGCGGUAGUCUUCUAAAAAGUAACGAAGAUGCAUAUAAGGCUCUAACUAAUUAACUAAAAGUUAAUUUGUUAUUGGAAUAAAUAUUUAGAGCUUGAAUAAUGUACUAACAAGUAUGUUAUGGAUUUAUGUCUAUUAUAUUGACCCGAUAAUAGUUUAUGGGAACGUUAUCGAUCAUCGAAUAAAAAAUACGCUAGGGAUAACAGAGUGAUCCACCUCUAGAGUUCUUAUCGACAGGUGGGGUUACCACCUCGAUGUUGGCUCAUCGCAACCUGGUGGUGCACAAUCUACCAAGGGUUCGGCUGUUCGCCGAUUAAAGCGGUACGUGAGCUGAGUUUAAAACGUCGUGAGACAGUUUGGUUCCUAUCUGUUGUAGCACACAUAAAAAAAAAGAAAUUUUUACCUUAGUACGAGAGGACCGGGAAGAAACAACCUAUGGUUUUUAAAUUAGAGUGUUAAUUCUAAGUUUAUAAGCUACGUUGUUGAUAGCUAACAUAUGGAAGCUAGUUUCUUUAUUUUUU